rnacentral:pre_miRNA from 1 species
GGGGGAGGCUGAAUACUGGGCUGUGUCCCGGCCCCCUGUUCUCCGGGACCUGCACUGUUGGAUUCUUGCUCCCGGCCAGGCAGGCACCU